rnacentral:tRNA from 1 species
UACAAUUGAGUAUUUGAUGUACAUAAAUUUUUGAAAUUUAAAGGAAUGGAUAAUCCCUGUUAAUUGUAA